rnacentral:rRNA from 1 species
AAGGGCCGGGCAAGACCGGUGCCAGCCGCCGCGGUAAUACCGGCGGCUCGAGUGGUGGCCACUAUUACUGGGCUUAAAGCGUUCGUAGCUGGUCUGUUAAGUCUCUGGGGAAAUCUACCGGCUUAACCAAUAGGCGUCUCAGGGAUACUGGCAGACUAGGGACCGGGAGAGGUGAGAGGUACUCCAGGGGUAGGAGUGAAAUCCUGUAAUCCUUGGGGGACCACCUGUGGCGAAGGCGUCUCACCAGAACGGCUCCGACAGUGAGGGACGAAAGCUGGGGGAGCAAACCGGAUUAAAUACCCGGGUAGUCCCAGCCGUAAACGAUGCGCGUUAGGUGUAUCGGUGACCACGAGUCACCGAGGUGCCGAAGAGAAAUCGUGAAACGUGCCGCCUGGGAAGUACGGUCGCAAGGCUGAAACUUAAAGGAAUUGGCGGGGGAGCACCACAACAGGUGGAGCCUGCGGUUUAAUCGGACUCAACGCCGGAAAUCUCACCGGAUAAGACAGCUGGAUGAUAGUCGGGCUGAAGACUCUACUUGACUAGCUGAGAGGAGGUGCAUGGCCGUCGUCAGUUCGUAUG